AACGAACGCUGGCGGCAUGCCUAACACAUGCAAGUCGAACGAGACCUUCGGGUCUAGUGGCGCACGGGUGCGUAACGCGUGGGAACCUGCCCUUAGGUUCGGAAUAACUCACUGAAAGAUGAGCUAAUACCGGAUGAUGUCUUCGGACCAAAGAUUUAUCGCCUUUGGAUGGGCCCGCGUUGGAUUCGCUAGUUGGUGAGGUAAAAGCCUACCAAGGCGACGAUGCAUAGCUGGUCUGAGAGGAUGAUCAGUCACACUGGGACUGAGACACGGCCCAGCAUCGUACGGGAGGCAGCAGUGGGGGAUAUUGGACAAUGGGGGAAAGCGUGAUACAGCAAUGCCGGGGGAGAGAUGAAGGCCGUAGGGUUGUAAAGCUCUUUUACACGAGGUGAUAAUGACAGUAACGGGAGAAUAAGCACCGGCUAACUCCGUG
rnacentral:rRNA from 1 species